GUGGGGAAUUUUGGACAAUGGGCGCAAGCCUGAUCCAGCAAUGCCGCGUGCAGGAAGAAGGCCUUCGGGUUGUAAACUGCUUUUGUACGGAACGAAAAGGCUCUGGUUAAUACCUGGGGCUCAUGACGGUACCGUAAGAAUAAGCACCGGCCAACUACGUGCCAGCAGCCGCGGUAAUACGUAGGGUGCAAGCGUUAAUCGGAAUUACUGGGCGUAAAGCGUGCGCAGGCGGUUUUGUAAGACAGACGUGAAAUCCCCGGGCUCAACCUGGGAAUGGCGUUUGUGACUGCAAAGCUGGAGUGCGGCAGAGGGGGAUGGAAUUCCGCGUGUAGCAGUGAAAUGCGUAGAUAUGCGGAGGAACACCGAUGGCGAAGGCAAUCCCCUGGGCCUGCACUGACGCUCAUGCACGAAAGCGUGGGGAGCAAACAGGAUUAGAAACCCGGGUAGUCC
rnacentral:rRNA from 1 species